rnacentral:lncRNA from 1 species
GAAGCACUAAACUGCUAUUGGUUUCUGUGUUAAUGAAGCAUUGAGAUAAGGUUCCAAUGGGAGAGGAGGUUGAAGGAAAGACUUUUUUUAAAAAAUGUGGCAUUGUUAGAUGCUUAGACAGGUACUGGAAGGUUUAGGUGGGGAAGCACUCUGAAAGGCUGGAUUUACUCUGAUUCAAAGGAAGUAUACAGAUGGGGUUCUUAGCUCAUGAAAGUUAGUAGGAGUAAGAAGAAAGAAGCAGUUCACGCCUUUGUAUGACCUGAACUGGAGAACCCCUACUACUAUGGUUCAGCUGCAAAGAGUGCACCUGUGAUACCAGCUUCUAGCAAUCCAACACCAAUAAUCUUGAUUCUGCAAAUUUUCACUUCCAAGAAGUUUACUAAAAACAUCUGUAAUAUUUAAAGAGCUUCUGGUC